GAUGAACGCUGGCGGCGUGCCUAAUACAUGCAAGUCGAGCGAACGGACGAGAAGCUUGCUUCUCUGAUGUUAGCGGCGGACGGGUGAGUAACACGUGGAUAACCUACCUAUAAGACUGGGAUAACUUCGGGAAACCGGAGCUAAUACCGGAUAAUAUUUUGAACCGCAUGGUUCAAAAGUGAAAGACGGUCUUGCUGUCACUUAUAGAUGGAUCCGCGCUGCAUUAGCUAGUUGGUAAGGUAACGGCUUACCAAGGCAACGAUGCAUAGCCGACCUGAGAGGGUGAUCGGCCACCAUGGAAUGGAGCCACGGUCCCGACCCCUAGGGGGGGCAGAAGAAGGGAAUCUUCCGCAAAGGGCGAAAGCCUGACGGAGCAACGCCGGGGGGGUGAUGAAGGUCUGCGGAUCGUAAAACGUUGUUAUUAGGGAAGAAAAAAUGUGUAAGUAACGGUGCCAAUCUUGGCGGUACCUAAACAGAAAGCCCCGGCAAACUACGG
rnacentral:rRNA from 1 species